GAAUCAACUCGAAUUUUUUUCGAAUUUCGAGUUCGAAUCGAGUUGAGUUUUCGAACUCGAAUAAUUCGAAUAAUUCGAAUAUCAAACUAUAAUAUUUUACAUUUUUACCCCAAACUCCAAACCUUUUUACUUUUCCCUCAAAACUUUUACUCCUUCCCACUUUCCCCCCAAAACUUUUACUCCCCUCCCCUCCCAACCCCCCAAUCUACCCAAAAUCCAUUUCCCACCAAAAUUUAACUCUCCCAUUUAUUUUUUCUCAAAAUUUUACUCCCCAAAAUCCUCAAAACCUUUUAUUUUCCCCCAAAAUUUUUAUUCCC
rnacentral:lncRNA from 1 species